rnacentral:rRNA from 1 species
UACAGAGGGGGCAAGCGUUGUUCGGAAUUAUUGGGCGUAAAGAGCUCGUAGGCGGUGUGUCACGUCGGCCGUGAAAACCUGGGGCUUAACUCUGGGCGUGCGGUCGAUACGGGCAUCACUAGAGUUCGGCAGGGGAGACUGGAAUUCCUGGUGUAGCGGUGAAAUGCGCAGAUAUCAGGAGGAACACCGGUGGCGAAGGCGGGUCUCUGGGCCGAUACUGACGCUGAGGAGCGAAAGCAUGGGUAGCGAACAGG